rnacentral:rRNA from 1 species
AGAGUUUGAUCCUGGCUCAGAUUGAACGCUGGCGGCAUGCUUUACACAUGCAAGUCGAACGGCAGCGCGGGGCAACCUGGCGGCGAGUGGCGAACGGGUGAGUAAUAUAUCGGAACGUACCCAAGAGUGGGGGAUAACGCAGCGAAAGUUGCGCUAAUACCGCAUACGAUCCAAGGAUGAAAGCAGGGGACCGCAAGGCCUUGUGCUCCUGGAGCGGCCGAUAUCUGAUUAGCUAGUUGGUGAGGUAAAGGCUCACCAAGGCGACGAUCAGUAGCUGGUCUGAGAGGACGACCAGCCACACUGGAACUGAGACACGGUCCAGACUCCUACGGGAGGCAGCAGUGGGGAAUUUUGGACAAUGGGCGCAAGCCUGAUCCAGCAAUGCCGCGUGAGUGAAGAAGGCCUUCGGGUUGUAAAGCUCUUUUGUCAGGGAAGAAACGGCUGCGGCUAAUAUCCGCGGCUAAUGACGGUACCUGAAGAAUAAGCACCGGCUAACUACGUGCCAGCAGCCGCGGUAAUACGUAGGGUGCAAGCGUUAAUCGGAAUUACUGGGCGUAAAGCGUGCGCAGGCGGUUUUGUAAGUCUGACGUGAAAUCCCCGGGCUUAACCCUGGGAAUUGCGUUGGAGACUGCAAGGCUAGAAUCUGGCAGAGGGGGGUAGAAUUCCACGUGUAGCAGUGAAAUGCGUAGAGAUGUGGAGGAACACCGAUGGCGAAGGCAGCCCCCCUGGGUCAAGAUUGACGCUCAUGCACGAAAGCGUGGGGAGCAAACAGGAUUAGAUACCCUGGUAGUCCACGCCCU